rnacentral:rRNA from 1 species
CCUACGGGUGGCAGCAGUGGGGAAUAUUGGGCAAUGGGCGCAAGUCUGACCCAGCAACGCAGCGUGAAGGAAGAAGGCUUUCGGGUUGUAAACUUCUUUUGUCAGGGACGAAGCAAGUGACGGUACCUGACGAAUAAGCCACGGCUAACUACGUGCCAGCAGCAGCGGUAAUACGUAGGUGGCAAGCGUUAUCCGGAUUCACUGGGUGUAAAGGGUGUGUAGGCGGGGAAGCAAGUCAGAUGUGAAAACCACGGGCUCAACCUGUGGCCUGCAUUUGAAACUGUUUUUCUUGAGUACUGUAGAGGCAGACGGAAUUCCUAGUGUAGCGGUGAAAUGCGUAGAUAUUAGGAAGAACACCAGUGGCGAAGGCGGUCUACUAAACAGCAACUGACGCUGAGGCGCGAAAGCGUGGGGAGCAAACAGGAUUAGAUACCCGAGUAGUC